rnacentral:rRNA from 1 species
GACGGAGGGUGCUAGCGUUGUUCGGAAUUACUGGGCGUAAAGGGCGCGUAGGCGGCCACGACAAGUCACUUGUGAAAUCUCCGGGCUUAACUCGGAACGGUCAAGUGAUACUGUCGGGCUAGAGUACAGAAGGGGCAACUGGAAUUCUCGGUGUAGCGGUGAAAUGCGUAGAUAUCGAGAGGAACACCUGCGGCGAAGGCGGGUUGCUGGGCUGAUACUGACGCUGAUGCGCGAAAGCCAGGGGAGCGAACGGG